ensembl:lncRNA
GUCCGUCAUUGCCAAGUUUGUUUCACCGUCACUCUACACCAAGUAUUCUUCCUCCAUCGACUUGUUUGCUGUGGCCCAGCCAUCAUUAGGAGAAGGCAAUGGCACCCCACUCCAGUACUUUCACCUGGAAAAUCCCGUGGAUGGAGGAGGAGCCUGGUGGGCUGCAGUCCAAGGGGUCGCUAAGAGUCGGACACGACUGAGCAACUUCACUUUCACUUUCCCUUUCAUGCAUUGGAGAAGGAAAUGGCAACCUACUCCAGCGUUCUUGCCUGGAGAAUCUCAGGGACGGGGGAGCCUGGUGGGCUGCCGUCUAUGGGGUUGCACAGAGUCAGACACGACUGAAGCGACUUAGCAGCAGCAGCAGCAGCAGCAGCCAUCAGCUGGACCAAAUGCCUCCCCGAGACAUUCGUAUCUCCCGAGCUUCUGUUUAGGUGGGACUUGAUUCACUUUGAGCACACAGAAUCCUUUCUCACAUGUCCGUCUUCGUAUAUAAAGAAACUUGCUUUUAGAUCGACUGUACCCCAUUCCCCACUGACCCUCAGCAGGCUCGCUCCUGUGCCUACACGGGAGGGCACGGGGCAGGGGAUGUGCCCAGCCCAGCAGACAGCGAGACCCAGAGUCUGAGCCGCAAUCUCUCAGCUCGUCCAUCCCUUGCGGUUGGAGCCCAUCUCUCGCCUGGUGAGAUUUCAUCCCAAAGCAUCCGGGCACUGUUACCAGGACAAAGGCAUCGAUCUCGGCUGAGAGAACGCUGAGAUGUAUUGACAGAGAGGUUUGCAUCGAUCCAGCAGGAAGUAAGCGGUGUGUGGUCACCUGCCCGGGAAUGAGACCCACUCCGUACGAGAGACGAGGGGGCUACAGACGACGGGGAGGCUCGGGGCUCCGAGGCUGCAGGACCCCCGGCCUGGGGUCACCGAGACAGCCUCCUUCCCCAGGAUGAGCAGAGCGGCUGCAGAGUGGUGGGGAGAGGCCGCCCACGGAGGGGUGGGCGUGGACACGGCAUGGCCCUGCCUGGCCCACCCACAGGGAGACACGCGGUGGAGCCCCCGGGGGUCUCCCAGGACCAGCUCCUCCCACCCCGACCUCAGGGGAAGAGCUGUGGUCAUGGAAACCGCUCCAUCGUCUGAAUUUCAGAGCUGGGAAUAUUUGAGUCAAUCAAGAAAUUCAAUUAGCGGAGUGACAUGUUGUCACGCGUGGCUCUGCCGCCCCGCUUCCCAUUUUCCGGGAGAUAAUUGGUGUAUUUGCGACAAAACUGCAAUUCAAUAUUUAUCGGCUG